CAGUUUCUAUUUGUGUAGGACUGAUAAAGUGAAUAUGGGUAUCUAUUCCUCCGGCAGUAACAAUAUAACCUGCACCACCAUGUACUUCAGUAGAAGCACCUAUAAUCAUAUUGGGAGAAAUCCCAUCUGUGGUAUCCGGGUUCCCGGCACAGCCAAUUCCGACAAUCUUUCCGUCUUUAAUCCCGAUAUCGGCCUUGACAAUGCCCCAGUGUUCAAUAAUAACAACCCCGGUAAUAGCCAUAUCCAGUACCCCCUGGUCCCUGAGUGCUGUAGAGGACUGACACAUGCCAUCACGAACUG
rnacentral:sRNA from 1 species